AAGAGAAGCCUUGAUGAUGCAUGUCACAUGUUUGAGGAAAUGCUCCUUAGAAAUGGUAAAUCGGAAGGAGUAGCAGCACAUGGCAAGCAACAGGGGUCCAACUUUUGAUGUCAAUGUAAAAGGCAAAUGAAAAUCGCCUCCUAAUGUGAAAGAGCAGAGUAAAGCAGAAGGAGUAUCAGUACAAAGCAAGCUACGGAGGUCCAAUAUUUGAUGUCAAGAGCGGACUGACAACACUGCCAAUCGAAGAGGGGGAGAAAGAGGGAUGUCGUGAGUCAUUUAGUCGUCGUAACAUAGCUUCUUUGUGCGUGGUAUUUCUGGGAUCAUUUCGACUUCAAAAGCUGCAACCGACGAAACAAAUUUGUACCACUCGUAGGUGUGGGAAGAUAAAGUAGAUUCUUCAUAAUUAGUUGGUUCUUCUAUCCAAGCCAAUUAUAAUGUGCAUUUAAUCAUUUAUUUGCUAUUAGAAACUUUUGUAAUUUUUCCUCAAAAGCAUUUUGUAUUUAUAUAUAUGAUCGGAGAAUAUUGCCGAUGAAUUAUUGAAAGUCUGAUCACAUUUUCAGUUCCGUUGUUGAUUUGAGAAAAAUAUUGCCAUUGUCACAUGUCUUAAAUAUACAGCUUAUUGUGCCGUUAUUCAUCACCAUCACAGAGUCAAGAUGCAAGGAGGACCUUGCCUUAGCAAAAAGAGCAAGGGAGUUGAAAGUUGUGAUUGCGAACUGGUGUGGCAUUGGAGCCUAGGGAUGGAGGGAAGAGAGAAGAGUAGAUAUGUCAUACUUGUGCUCAUGAACAGCCGAGGUGGUGGGCCCGUGGGCCGCACUGAGAGGUGCAUAUACAUAAUUUUAUAUGAACUAUACAUUUUGAAUAUAGCACAUCAUCAAUCUUAAAGCCCAGACUGAGAGGUGCUGAUUCAGAGUGUGGAUGCACCCAGCUGCAAGGAAGCAUUUUCCUGAACAUCUGCACCAACUGCAGGCUACAGCACAAGAUUUAAAGACUGACGUGAUGAUACAUUAACCAGAAGUUGUAUUACAACAAAUCAUAAUGGCGUUACACAAAUAUAGGCCGUAAGGGGUCGACACUGACAGGUAGAGACUAACAGGCAAUCUUAUGCCUGUCUUAGCUUACCUCUGAACGUUACAACAUGUAAAACCUA